AGUUGUAUCCUGGCUCAGGAUGAACGCUGGCGGCAUGUCUAAGGCAUGCAAGUCGUACGCGCUUCGCUUUUGCUCAGCGCGAACAAUUAACUUCUAACUUUUAACUCUUAACUAUUGAUUGACCCAACACGGAUCAGUGGUUAAUUGUUAACUGUAAAUUGUUAACAUGUUCACGGAGCGUAAGCGGAGUGCGUGGCAGACGGGUGCGUAACACAUUGGUAAUCUACCUUCGUCUCGAGUAUAACCCGGAGAAAUCUGGGACAAUCCUCGAUGGUCAUGGGGGGACAUAUGUCAUUCCCAUGUAAAGCUUCGGCGGACGAAGAGGAGCCUAUGGCCCAUCAGUUUGUUGGUAGGGUAACGGCCUACCAAGGCAAUGACGGGUAGCGGGUGUGAGAGCAUGGCCCGCCUCACUGGGACUGAAACACUGCCCAGACUCCUACGGGAGGCUGCAGUCAAGAAUCUUCCUCAAUGCACGAAAGUGUGAAGGAGCAAUGCCGCGUGAUCGAAGAAGCUCUUCGGGGUGUAAAGAUCUUUUAUCAGGGACGAAUUCGUGACGGUACCUGAUGAAUAAGCCACUGCUAACUUCGUGCCAGCAGCAGCGGUAAUACGAAGGUGGCAAGCGUUAUCCGGAAUGAUUGGGCGUAAAGCGUCCGCGGAUUGUUUGAUAAGUCUUUUGUUAAAUCCUGAAGCUCAACUUCAGGGCUGCGAGAGAAACUAUCUGACUAGAGGCCGGAAGAGGCAAGCGGAAUUACUGGUGUAGCGGUAAAAAUGCGUUAAUAUCAGUAAGAACACCCAAAUGCGAANGCAGCUUGCUGGGNACGGAUCUGACAUUAAGGGACGAAAGCGUGGGGGAGCGAAUGGGAUUAGAUACCCC
rnacentral:rRNA from 1 species